rnacentral:rRNA from 1 species
GUCGAGCGACGAACCCGCAGAAGUUGACUUCGGUUAGCGGAUGCGGGGGAAAGCGGCGAACGGGUGCGUAACACUUGGGUAACCUACCUCUUGGACCGUAACAACUUCGAGAAAUCGGAGCUAAUGACGGAUAUUCUCUUCCUGCGGUAUCGCGGGGAAAGGAAAGGCCUGCCGCAAGGCAGAUCGCCGAGGGAUGGGCCUGAGUCCUAUCAGCUUGUUGGCGGGGUAACGGCCCACCAAGGCUUAGACGGGUAGCUGGUCUGAGAGGACGGCCAGCCACACGGGGAUUGAGAAACGGCCCCGACUCCUACGGGAGGCAGCAGUGAGGAAUAUUGGACAAUGCCCGAAAGGGUGAUCCAGCGACGUUGCGUGAGUGACGAAGGCCUUCGGGUCUUAAAACUCUGUCGAGCGGGAAGAAAUCCGUGCAAACGGAUUGACGGUACCGCUGGAGGAAGCCCCGGCUAAUCCCGUGCCAGCAGCCGCGGUAAGACGGGAGGGGCGAGCGUUAUCCGGAAUUACUGGGUGUAAAGGGUCUGUAGGCGGUUGAUCGUGUCUGACUUGAAAUCCUCUGGCUCAACCAGAGAAUCGGGUCAGAAACUGUUCAACUCUGAGUGCGGAGGAGGAAAACGGAACUGCCGGUGUAGCGGUGAAAUGCGUAGAUAUCGGCAGGAACACCAGUGGCGAAGGCGGUUUUCUAUUCCGCAACUGACGCUGAGGGACGAAAGCGUGGGGAGCAAUCGGGAUUAGAUACCCCGGUAGUCCACGCUGUAAACGAUGGAUGUUAGGUGUCGGGCCGGUAAUACGGCUCGGUGCCGAAGCUAACGCGUUAAACAUCCCACCUGGGGACUACGGCCGCAAGGCUGAAACCCAAAGGAAUUGACGGGGGCCCGCACAACCGGUGGAGUAUGUGGUUUAAUUCGAUGAUACGCGAAGAACCUUACCUGGGCUUGACAUGCUGGUUGUAGAAGUCCGAAAGGGCAACGACCCUCCGCAAGGAGGGAGCCUGCACAGGUGGUGCAUGGCUGUCGUCAGCUCGUGCCGUGAGGUGUAUGGUUAAGUCCCGUAACGAGCGCAACCCCUGCCCGUAGUUACUCGUCCGCAAGGACAGCACUCUACGGGGACUGCCGUGGUUAACACGGAGGAAGGUGGGGAUGACGUCAAGUCAUCACGCCCCUUAUGUCCAGGGCUACACACGUACUACAAUGGUCGGUACAGAGGGAUGCCAAGCCGCGAGGCGGAGCAAAUCUCAUAAAGCCGGCCCUAGUUCGGAUUGCAGGCUGAAACCCGCCUGCAUGAAGCUGGAAUCGGUAGUAAUCGCGGAUCAGCCAGGCCGCGGUGAAUACGUUCUCGGGCCUUGUACACACCGCCCGUCACGCCAACUGAGUAGAGGAUACCUGAAAUCAUCUUCGGAUGCCUAAGGUAUGUUUUGCAAGGAGGGCGAAGUCGUAACAAGGCAGCCGUACCGGAGGUGCGGCUGGAUC